rnacentral:ncRNA from 2 species
CCCGAAGUCAGUGGCGAUUUGUUACCGGAUUGCGGGCCACUUAAAAAACUCCGCUAAAAAGGGAACGGGUCAGCCCCG